rnacentral:lncRNA from 1 species
AGCUUUUGCAAAUCAGAAAGUUCUCGAGGUAUACCGUAGUCUGCAUCCAUUGUUUGUGUCGCUGCUAUACUCACUCGCACCAACUUUUGUCAGUCUCCCAACUCUGAAAAGACCGUUUAUAUAGGACAGGGGCUAGUGAGGCGAUACAACCAACCCAGCAACCAGUUUUACCUUCCGGGUUCCAUGACUCUAACCCUAUAUGCCCUUGCUUUUCCACAUUAUUACGAUGCAGCCAUUUCCUUUUAUUCUGCAAUGCAAUACGAAAAUCCCCCAACCCCACAAAACCAGUGCUAAGCAAAUCAUCAGCUGUAGUAAAAAUAACGCAAUUAAGUGCGCGUAUAAUCACUAGUUUGAAUCCAUUUGUCCCAGUGAAAAGGAUCCAAACACCUGGCAGGAACUCAUCUCACCCGUCUUCGUUCAAAAGAAAAAAGGAAGAUCAAAGCAUAAUUUGUUUUAAGAAAUGGGUUACACAAUCCUCAAAUUAUAUUGUCAAAUAAAUUUUUACUAGUAGUAGUUCUUUUUUAUCUUUUAAAAUUUACGCUAGUAUAUAUUUUUAUUAUUAUAAUAGUUUUAUCAUCUCUCGGUAAUCCCAUUACGCAAACAAGUUAUGAUUUUUUUAAACUUGAAGAAGUCUACCUUGUGAAAGAUUGUUUUUGAGUGAUCAAGUCCAGAUAGGAAUCCACAAAGGAAUAUGCCCCUUCAGGAUAAUUAGG